rnacentral:rRNA from 1 species
AUUGAACGCUGGCGGCAUGCCUUACACAUGCAAGUCGAACGGUAACGGGCCUUCGGGUGCCGACGAGUGGCGAACGGGUGAGUAAUGCAUCGGAACGUACCUUUCAGUGGGGGAUAACGUAGCGAAAGUUACGCUAAUACCGCAUAUUCUGUGAGCAGGAAAGCAGGGGAUCGCAAGACCUUGCGCUGAUUGAGCGGCCGAUAUCAGAUUAGCUAGUUGGUGAGGUAAAGGCUCACCAAGGCGACGAUCUGUAGCGGGUCUGAGAGGAUGAUCAGCCACACUGGAACUGAGACACGGUCCAGACUCCUACGGGAGGCAGCAGUGAGGAAUAUUGGUCAAUGGACGAAAGUCUGAACCAGCGACGCCGCGUGUGGGAUGAAGGGGCUUUGCCCUGUAAACCACUGUCGGAAAGGGAAAAAAGAAGUAUGAACUUCUGGGAUUGUACCUUCAAAGGAAGGAUCGGCUAACUACGUGCCAGCAGCCGCGGU